GACGAACGCUGGCGGCGUGCUUAACACAUGCAAGUCGAACGGAAAGGCCCUGCUUUUGUUGGUUGCUCGAGUGGCGAACGGGUGAGUAACACGUGAGUAACCUGCCCUUGACUUUGGGAUAACUUCAGCAAACUGGGACUAAUACCGGAUAGGAGCUCCUGCUGCAUGGUGGGGGUUGGAAAGUUUCGGCGGUUGGGGAUGGACUCGCGGCUUAUCAGCUUGUUGGUGGGGUAGUGGCUUACCAAGGCUUUGACGGGUAGCCGGCCUGAGGGGGUGACCGGCCACAUUGGGACUGAGAUACGGCCCAGACUCCUAGGGGAGGAAGCAGUGGGGAAUAUUGCACAAUGGGCGGAAGCCUGAUGCAGCAACGCCGCGUGCGGGAUGACGGCCUUCGGGUUGUAAACCGCUUUCGCAUGUGACGAAGCGUGAGUGACGGUAAUGGGUAAAGAAGCACCGGCUAACUACGUG
rnacentral:rRNA from 1 species